rnacentral:rRNA from 1 species
GAUCCUGGCUCAGGAUGAACGCUAGCGGCAGGCUUAACACAUGCAAGUCGAGGGGCAUCGGGAGUAGCAAUACUGCCGGCGACCGGCGCAAGGGUGCGUAACGCGUGAGCAACAUGCCCGUAUCAGGGGGAUAAUCCAUGGAAACGUGGUCUAAUACCCCAUAGUAAUUAUGUAAGGCAUCUUAUAUAAUUUAAAGCUUUGGUGGAUACGGAUUGGCUCGCGUGACAUUAGCUAGAUGGUAAGGUAACGGCUUACCAUGGCUACGAUGUCUAGGGGUUCUGAGAGGAAGGUCCCCCACACUGGAACUGAGACACGGUCCAGACUCCUACGGGAGGCAGCAGUGAGGAAUAUUGGACAAUGGAUGGAAAUCUGAUCCAGCCAUGCCGCGUGCAGGAAGACGGCCCUAUGGGUUGUAAACUGCUUUUGUAUGGGAGCAAUAAGGGCUACGUGUAGUCCGAUGAGAGUACCAUACGAAUAAGCACCGGCUAACUCCGUGCCAGCCGCGGC